UCCAGUUGGGGAAACGCCUCGACGUUCCAGUCGCUUCACUCUGGCCUAUGUCCGCUACGGUUUUCUCCAUUCUUUACCAUUUCGAUCUUCUCAAGGAAAAUGGGCAUUUCCCGGCUGAUCUCUCAGGUAGCUGUAAAAUGAAAUUCACUUCAUGGAAAUUUCUUUUUUGGAAUCGGAUUUUAACUUCUUUCUUACUUACUCUGUUCUGAAGAGCGGGGAGAAGAGAUUGUGGAUUACUUCCCUGGAGUUUCGAAGAUUCGUCUUGCAGAUUUGCC
rnacentral:lncRNA from 1 species